UAGCAAGGUUAACCGUAUAGGGGAGCCGUAGGGAAACCGAGUCUUAACCGGGCGUUAAGUUGCAGGGUAUAGACCCGAAACCCGGUGAUCUAGCCAUGGGCAGGUUGAAGGUUGGGUAACACUAACUGGAGGACCGAACCGACUAAUGUUGAAAAAUUAGCGGAUGACCUGUGGCUGGGGGUGAAAGGCCAAUCAAACCGGGAGAUAGCUGGUUCUCCCCGAAAGCUAUUUAGGUAGCGCCUCGUGAAUUCAUCUCCGGGGGUAGAGCACUGUUUCGGCUAGGGGGCCAUCCCGGCUUACCAACCCGAUGCAAACUGCGAAUACCGGAGAAUGUUAUCACGGGAGACACACGGCGGGUGCUAACGUCCGUCGUGAAGAGGGAAACAACCCAGACCGCCAGCUAAGGUCCCAAAGUCAUGGUUAAGUGGGAAACGAUGUGGGAAGGCCCAGACAGCCAGGAUGUUGGCUUAGAAGCAGCCAUCAUUUAAAGAAAGCGUAAUAGCUCACUGGUCGAGUCGGCCUGCGCGGAAGAUGUAACGGGGCUAAACCAU
rnacentral:rRNA from 1 species